rnacentral:lncRNA from 1 species
UUAGGAUAUAAGAAUAAAGGGGUAUAAAUAAAUUUUUAUCUAUUAUUAUUUAUUUCAAAUUUUCUUUUGCAGGUGUAUAUCUCUUUGAAAGAUUUUGUUCAGAAGCAUUCCUUAUCUUAUUAUACUAUCCAUACACAACUACAAUAAAAUCUUUAUUAUUCUUUUUAUUUUCUCUCUCUUCAAUGUUUCAACAUUUAUUCUUCACUCAAAAAACCUAAACUUAUAAAAAAUCUUCAUUGCAUUCUUCUUAUCUUCAAGAACGUCACCAACCUUCUUUUCGACCUAGAAAUCCUUCACCGACAAUCAUCAAAAUUCAAAAAAAAUGUCAAACACAUAGUCUUCAAUUUUUUUUAAAAAAUAUUACAGGAUCAAAUAAGUAGAGUCGAAAUCAUAAAAAAUCAAGGCAAUGGUUGAUAAAAUUAAAAAUAGAAUGGAGUAUAUUUUUAAAUGGAGUAUAUCUUCAACUUCAAGUCCUAACUUUAAAAAAAACUUAAACUCAUUUAUCCAGAAUCUUCAUUGCAUUCUUCUUAUCUUCAAGAACGUCAUCAACCUUCUUUUCGACCUAGAAAUCGACAAUCAUCAAAAUUUAAAAAAAAAAGUCAAAUACAGAUUUUUCAACUUAAAAAAAAUAUUAUUACAGGAUCAAAUAAGUAAAGUCGAAAUCAUGAAAAAUCAAGAGAAUGGUUGAUAAAAUUAAAAAUAGAAUGGAGUAUAUUUUUAAAUGGAGUAUAUCUUCAACUUCAAGUCCUAACUUUACAAAAAAACUUAAACUCAUUUAUCCAGAAUCUUCAUUGCAUUCUUCUUAUCUUCAAGAAGAUCAUCAACCUUCUUUUCGACCUAGAAAUUGACAAUCAUCAAAAUUCAAAAAGAAUGUCAAAUACAAAUUUUUCAACUUAAAAAAAAUAUUAUUACAGGAUCAAAUUAGUAAAGUCGAAAUCAUGAAAAAUCAAGAGAAUGGUUGAUAAAAUUAAAAAUAGAAUAGAGUAUAUUUUUAAAUGGAGUAUAUCUUCAACUUCAAGUCCUAACUUCACAAAAAACUUAAACUUAUUUAUCCAUAAUCUUCAUUGCAUUCUUCUUAUCUUCUAGAAUAUCACCAACCUUCUUUUCAACCUAGAAAUCCUUCACCGACAAUCAUCAAAAUUCAAAAAAAAAAUGUCAAACACAAAUUUUUCAAAUAAAAAAAAAUACAGGAUCAAAUAAGUAAAGUCGAAAUCAUGAAAAAUCAAGACAAAAUGGUUGAAAUCAAGACAAAAUCCUUCACCUACUCUUGUUCUUUAUUUUUUUCUUGAUAAAGAUAAACAACUUUUAUUAGACCUGCAAAACCCAAAACACAUUAUGACAAAUUAGCAAAAUAAAAUAAAAUGGUGAAGAGAGAUUUAUACAAAUAAGAAUAACUAUUGGAGUUUUAUAUUUUUUCCUACUCUUGUUCUUUAUUUUUUAUUUUU